UACGGAGGGAGCUAGCGUUGUUCGGAAUUACUGGGCGUAAAGCGCGCGUAGGCGGCUUUGUAAGUUAGAGGUGAAGGCCCGGGGCUCAACCCCGGAAUUGCCUUUAAGACUGCAUCGCUAGAAUCCAGGAGAGGUGAGUGGAAUUCCGAGUGUAGAGGUGAAAUUCGUAGAUAUUCGGAAGAACACCAGUGGCGAAGGCGGCUCACUGGACUGGUAUUGACGCUGAGGCGCGAAAGCGUGGGGAGCGAACAGG
rnacentral:rRNA from 1 species